rnacentral:tRNA from 1 species
AAUGAGGUGCCUGAUAAAAAGGACUAUUUUGAUAGAAUAGAUAAUGUAUGCAUAAAUACCCUUAUUA